rnacentral:rRNA from 1 species
AUUGAACGCUGGCGGCAUGCCUUACACAUGCAAGUCGAACGGCAGCACGGGAGCAAUCCUGGUGGCGAGUGGCGAACGGGUGAGUAAUAUAUCGGAACGUGCCCGGUCGUGGGGGAUAACGUAGCGAAAGCUACGCUAAUACCGCAUACGAUCUACGGAUGAAAGCGGGGGAUCGCAAGACCUCGCGCGAUUGGAGCGGCCGAUAUCAGAUUAGGUAGUUGGUGAGGUAAAGGCUCACCAAGCCGACGAUCUGUAGCUGGUCUGAGAGGACGACCAGCACACUGGGACUGAGACACGGCCCAGACUCCUACGGGAGGCAGCAGUGGGGAAUUUUGGACAAUGGCGGCAAGCCUGAUCCAGCAAUGCCG